rnacentral:rRNA from 1 species
UACAGGGGGUGCAAACGUUGCUCGGAAUCAUUGGGCGUAAAGCGCACGUAGGCGGCCUGUUAUGUCGGAUGUGAAAGCCCUUGGCUCAACUGAGGAAGUGCAUCCGAAACUGGCAGGCUAGAGUACUAAAGAGGGUCGCGGAAUUCCCGGUGUAGAGGUGAAAUUCGUAGAUAUCGGGAGGAACACCGGUGGCGAAGGCGGCGACCUGGGUAGAUACUGACGCUGAGGUGCGAAAGCGUGGGGAGCAAACGGG